rnacentral:rRNA from 1 species
AUUGAACGCUGGCGGCAGGCCUAACACAUGCAAGUCGAACGCGUGGCGGACGGGUGUGUAAUGUCUGGGAAACUCUCCCAUGGCGGGGGGUAACUCCUGGAAAAGGUAGAUAAUAUAGCAUACCAUCGGAUGUGCCCCGAUGUGAUUAGCUUGUAGGUGUGGUAACGGCUCACCUAGGCGAAGAUCCCGAGCUGGUCUGAGAGGAUGACCAGCCACACUGGAACUGAGACACGGUCCAGACUCCGACGGGAGGCAGCAGUGGGGAAUAUUGCACAAUGGGCGCAAGCCUGAUGCAGCCAUGCCGCGUGUAUGAAGAAGGCCUUCGGGUUGUAAAGUACUUUCAGCGGGGAGGCGUUACCCGCAGAAGAAGCACCGGCUAACUCCGUGCCAGCAGCCGCGGUAAUUC